rnacentral:rRNA from 1 species
UACGUAGGGGGCAAGCGUUAUCCGGAUUUACUGGGUGUAAAGGGAGCGUAGGUGGCAUGGUAAGUCAGAUGUGAAAGCCCAGGGCUCAACCCUGGGAUUGCAUUUGAAACUACCAAGCUAGAGUGCAGGAGAGGUAAGUGGAAUUCCUAGUGUAGCGGUGAAAUGCGUAGAUAUUAGGAGGAACACCAGUGGCGAAGGCGGCUUACUGGACUGUAACUGACACUGAGGCUCGAAAGCGUGGGGAGCAAACAGG